GUGUAGGUGGAAGCGGUGGUGGAGGAGGGAGCCAACACUGUUUUUUAGUUGUUUUUUUUUUUUUAUUGGGCACUACUGGCCAGGGCCCCACUCCAUCCCCUACCUAUUAGUGAAGAUCCGUUCGGCAGAGUAGCUGUCGACAUUAUAGUUGCGCAGGCACUUUGGUGACUCCAGAGAACCUCGGGCCAAUCGCACGUCCCCGUGACGACGACUUUGCAUUUGGAUGUCUGCCCUAUCAACUUUCAAUGCCACUUUCUGCGCCUACCAUGGUGACCAUGGGUAACGGGGAAUCAAGGUUUGAUUCCGGAGAGGGAGCCUGAGAAACGGCUACUACAUCCAAGGAAGGCA